CAAGAAAGCACCGGCUAACUCCGUGCCAGCAGCCGCGGUAAUACGGAGGGUGCAAGCGUUGCUCGGAAUUACUGGGCGUAAAGCGUACGCAGGCGGUCUGAUAAGUCGGGUGUGAAAGCCCCGGGCUCAACCCGGGAACUGCAUUCGAAACUGCCAGACUUGAGUUUGGGAGAGGGAAGUGGAAUUCCUGGUGUAGAGGUGAAAUUCGUUGAUAUCAGGAGGAACACCGGCGGCGAAAGCGGCUUCCUGGCCCGAUACUGACGCUCAUGUACGAAAGCGUGGGGAGCAAACAGGAUUAGAUACCCUGGUAGUCCACGCCGUAAACGAUGAGUGCUAGAUGUUGGAGGUAUUCACCCCUUCAGUGUCGAAGCUAACGCAUUAAGCACUCCGCCUGGGGAGUACGGCCGCAAGGUUAAAACUCAAAGGAAUUGACGGG
rnacentral:rRNA from 1 species